rnacentral:misc_RNA from 1 species
ACUAUGCAAAAUUUAAAAGUUGAGGGAGUUUUAUAUUGUAUUUUAAAGUUGAAGUACUGUAAUAUUACAAUCAUAUAAAUUUAGAGAUAAUUGUUGAAAUUUAUCCGUAUAAACUGUAUCACAGAGAAAGUUUUUUACUAUUUAAAUCAGAAUGCCCAUUUAACUCUCAUUCAGUCGCAUUACAUGACAAUUACAUAACAGAAAUAUCGACAAUGAUUUCACAUGCCCUUUGAUAACCAUGGAGUAAAAAAAGAAAAAUAAUAGCAACUGAUCUCCUAAGUAAUUGCAGGACAACAUGGGAAAUUUCCAAAUAGGACUUACCAAGCGCGACCAGUGGAAUCAAAAGGAUAGCACACAACAUGACACUUAAUGUUUGUGAAGGAAUAAUGAUUAGCUUUGUACAUUAACCUUAUUUCCCUGUAAUUAAUUAGUCAUCCUAGAAUAAAAUUAUGGAGAAGACUGACAUAUUUCCAGCCUAGACUAUUACUAAAAUUGUUGUGGAGAUGCUAUGUUUAAGAAUCUAACUCGACUAAAUCUUAGUUGUUGGUUUUACUUGAUCUUUCUGUGGCCUAGAUGAACCAGCAUUUUCUCCAAGUCAGACUGCAUAAUAGGUG